rnacentral:tRNA from 2 species
CAUUAAGAAGCUAACAAGACAUAGCAUUAGCCUUUUAAGCUAAAAAUCGGUGCCUCGCCCCACCCUUAAUGU